rnacentral:lncRNA from 1 species
CAGCAGAAUGGAGAAGUACCUGGAGCAAAAAUUUUCACGGGCAGAGCUUUGGCAGUGAAAGUGAGCAGGGUAAAAAACCAAGGGGGGGUAACUUUAAAUAUAUAGUACCCCCCAACGGUCGAGAUGCAGGCACGACCGACGAAGGCUCCCCAGAUUUCGUCGCGUGGCGUCAUCGGGGCCGUUCGGCGGUCCGACGGUUCGACGCACC